AAGCUGAUAUAGAAAGGAUUAUGAGAAACAGUUUGGAUGAAAUUGAGAGAAUACCUUUUCAGGGGUCAAGACCAUCUUGGACUUCAGCCUAGCAACACCAGCCCCUACGUGUGAGCAUUCGGAUCAUCAACACUGUGACCUCGCUGUGUGAACGGGAGCUGCUACAGGAAGGAAGCUUACAAAUGAGCUGCAUGGAUCCCACAUUUUGCUAAAAUCAAAUAGGACCUUUCUCCUCUUUGUUGAAUGCCGUAAUACACAAGAAAUAAGCCAGCGGGAUGCUCAUGUCCAAGGUCUCCCUUUAUCUACCACCCGAGUUGGCAUGAAACAACUUCUGGGGUUCAAAUCUUCUGAACAAUGAUGCAAGUCUUAGCAAAUUUCAAGAACAAUUUAAAGAGGAAAUAAAUAGCAUUUUGUUUAACUUGGUUCAAUUAUCUCCUUUUGCUCCCGGCUUCAUGCCAGGUACUCUCCAUUGUGCCUGGGAAAUAUGAAUCCCUACCUUCAUGAAGAAACAUUGGCCAUGAGGAUCUUCCCUACAACCCAAGGACUAUUUGAAGUUUGAAGUCUUUCAGCCCAGACAACACUGGCUAUUUUCACCUUUGCCUUCAACUAUAAAGGCUGGGCUCUCUCUGCAGGAGUGGGAGGAAGCAUUGAUACUAGAGAUGCAGUGUUUGCUAAAUGCAUACCAGUGCUAGACAUGGAGCUGUACACAAUGAUUAGCUUGAUCAUAACAAAAAUAGAACAGGCAGAGGGCUGUUGUGCUGGUGCUGAGAGAGGCUCUGAACAGGCAGGAGAGAUUGAGCAAAACUGGAUAACUGUAGCAGAAAGCAGAUGCUGAAUGGGAUUGACUGUCUAGGCUCAAUCCCAGGGAACUGAUAAGACAGAACCGUGUGUUCAGGGAAAAUGGUAAGAAAGAACUGGGUCAAUCUCAGAAACAUUUGCAGAGUUCAAGUGUCGAAGACAGAGGCAUGAACUCCCCCUUUUGUAUUAGUGGACUGUUGAAGUGAAGCCCCUGAAACCAACUUUGCACUGCAUAAUGUGACCUUGGAGCAGGCAUAGCCCUGUGGUGACUGCAGAGAAGAGGAUAUGAGAAUCUCAUUGUAAAUAUAAUCACCCUGUCCUGUACUUGGUAGCUCCUGGUCUUCCAAGGUUGCAACUCUUUCUCCUCUUCCUUCUCAUUUCUGCAUUGCCUUUCAGUCCUGCUCACUCCACUUUCCCUGCCAGCAGUUCCUACUGCAACCGGAACCGCACCAUGGAAGUGAGCCCCACUGCAAGGAAUACUCAGUAGAAAGACAGUGUUUGGACCAGAGACAUGGUAUUUUUUAAUCUUACUAUCCCGAACCCUCUGGCAA